CGUAACACGUGGGCAACCUGCCCCGAAGCGGGGGACAACAAUCCGAAAGGAUUGCUAAUACCGCAUGUGAAUUGUUGUGGCAUCACGACAUAUUCAAAGCCGCAAGGCACUUCGGGAUGGGCCCGCGGCCUAUCAGCUAGUUGGUGAGGUAACGGCUCACCAAGGCUUCGACGGGUAGCUGGUCUGAGAGGACGGCCAGCCGGAUUGGGACUGAGAUACGGCCCAG
rnacentral:rRNA from 1 species